ensembl:lncRNA
UCUGCCUCCAUAAUCUGCUUAAUUUCAGGCCGUCCCAGCAGCGAGGGGAGCGGUCUGUGCAUCCACCAAUCCUCGUUCCACGGGUAUUUUUGCACCCUUCGUUACACUUCGGACCAUUUACAGCCUCCUGAGACCAUACGUCCGUGCUGAGAAGGUUCCCUGUAGCCGUUGACAUGUAAUCAGGUGAAGCCGCGAGAUGAAGGACGGAUGCAGAUAUCUAAAUGCUAAAAGCAGAACGGCUCCCUCAGGACCUGCAUGAAGAGUUGAAAAGAUGAGGUCAUUUGGAGGCUUCUUUGGGAGCGGUUAAUACGGAAGAGUGGAAGAAAACUAGCUGGGGAAUGAAAAGAAAGCCGCGUCACCUCUGCGUUUCUUAUUAAAAGCAACCAAACAUCAACCGGUGAACCUGGUGCUGUCCCAACAGCUCUGGAGGGAACAGACACACAAUGCAGAAGACAGAUGAGAUCUUCAGUUAUGUUCACACGGCAGGCGCGGCCUUCAAAGACACUGAAUAAGUUACUUCAGGUUGUAACUCUUUCAAAGUGACGCAGUGCCUUCAAAGAGAAACACGUGAGGUGUGUCGAGGGCUUUUGAUAUUCAGGGCAGGCACCGAUAAACACAUUAGGAUGGAGAUCGGGACGCUGACGCCGGUCACUUUAUCUCUUUCAUUAUAAAGCUCAGAGCUACAGGAGACGUAAUUGAGUACCUGCACACACAGCUGGGCUGUGAAAUACCUUUUUGUGCUGGAUGAAAGCACACUUCUUCAUGCAACAGAGACGUUUCAGCGCACCAGUUGAAUUUAUUUUCCUUGCCG